UACGGGGGGGGGGCAAGCGUUUGUUCGGAAUUACUGGGCGUAAAGGGCGCGUAGGCGGCCUGCUAAGUCGGACGUGAAAAUCCCUCGGCUCAACCGGGGAACUGCGUCCGAUACUGGUGGGGCUCGAAUCCGGGGAGAGGGGAUGUGGAAUUCCAGGUGUAGCGGUGAAAAUGCGCAGAUAUCAGGAGGAACACCGGUGGCGAAGGCGGGGUCUCUGGG
rnacentral:rRNA from 1 species